rnacentral:rRNA from 1 species
UACGGAGGAUCCAAGCGUUAUCCGGAUUUAUUGGGUUUAAAGGGUGCGUAGGCGGUUCUUUAAGUCAGGGGUGAAAGACGGUAGCUUAACUAUCGCAGUGCCUUUGAUACUGAAGAACUUGAAUACACUUGAGGUAGGCGGAAUGUGACAAGUAGCGGUGAAAUGCAUAGAUAUGUCACAGAACACCAAUUGCGAAGGCAGCUUACUAAAGCGUCAUUGACGCUGAGGCACGAAAGCGUGGGGAUCAAACAGG